UGCACACAUGACCGUAAGUCACUUUGGAUAAAAGCGUCUGCUACAUGGCAUUUA
rfam:Salmo salar isolate Sally breed double haploid chromosome ssa10, whole genome shotgun sequence.